rnacentral:ncRNA from 2 species
AUGCGUCUUCAGGGCGGGGUGAAAGUCCCCACCGGCGGUAUGCCGCGCACCGGUCCUUCGGCCGGCGCGCGACGAGCCCGCGAGCGCCGAUGCGUCGUGCAAACGCCGCGUCGGGUCAGCAGAUCUGGUGCGAUGCCAGAGCCGACGGUCAUAGUCCGGAUGAGAGAAGAUGUGA